CCCAGUGAACAAUUAAACGGCCGCGGUACCCUAACCGUGCAAAGGUAGCGUAAUCACUUGUCUACUAAUUAUAGACCUGUAUGAAAGGCAAAAUGAGGGUCCAACUGUCUCUUAUAAUCAAUCAAUUAAACUGAUCUCCUAGUAAAAAAGCUAGAAUUACCACAUAAGACCAGAAGACCCUGUGAAGCUUAAAUUAAACUAUUAAAUCCAAUAAUAACUACUUUCGGUUGGGGCGACCUUGGAAAAAAAAAGAACUUCCACACACCUAUGACUGCUCAUACUAUUAGGCCCACUAGCCAAAAACUGACCCAGCUAAAGCUGACAAAUGAACCAAGUUACUCCAGGGAUAACAGCGCAAUCUUCUUCAAGAGCCCAUAUCAAAAAGAAGGUUUACGACCUCGAUGUUGGAUCAGGACAUCCUAA
rnacentral:rRNA from 1 species